AUGAACGCUGGCGGCGUGCCUAAUACAUGCAAGUCGAGCGAACGGACGAGAAGCUUGCUUCUCUGAUGUUAGCGGCGGACGGGUGAGUAACACGUGGAUAACCUACCUAUAAGACUGGGAUAACUUCGGGAAACCGUAGCUAAUACCGGAUAAUAUUUUGAACCGCAUGGUUCAAAAGUGAAAGACGGUCUUGCUGUCACUUAUAGAUGGAUCCGCGCUGCAUUAGCUAGUUGGUAAGGUAACGGCUUACCAAGGCAACGAUGCAUAGCCGACCUGAGAGGGUGAUCGGCCACACUGGAACUGAGACACGGUCCAGACUCCUACGGGAGGCAGCAGUAGGGAAUCUUCCGCAAUGGGCGAAAGCCUGACGGAGCAACGCCGCGUGAGUGAUGAUGGUCUUCGGAUCGUAAAACUCUGUUAUUAGGGAAGAACAUAUGUGUAAGUAACUGUGCACAUCUUGACGGUACCUAAUCAGAAAGCCACGGCUAACUACGUG
rnacentral:rRNA from 1 species